GACGAACGCUGGCGGCGUGCCUAACACAUGCAAGUCGAACGGGGAUUUUGUUUCGGCAGAAUCCUAGUGGCGAACGGGUGAGUAACGCGUAGGCAACCUGCCCUCCGGCCGGGGACAACACUCCGAAAGGGGUGCUAAUACCGGAUGUUGUAUGCGAGGCGCAUGCCUUGCAUACCAAAGGAUGGAAAUCCGCUCUCCGAUGGGCCCGCGUCCGAUUAGCUAGUUGGUGAGAUAGAGGCCCACCAAGGCGACGAUCGGUAGCCGGCCUGAGAGGGUGGACGGCCACAUUGGGACUGAGACACGGCCCAGACUCC
rnacentral:rRNA from 1 species